rnacentral:misc_RNA from 1 species
GAGAGAGAGAGAGAGAGGGAGAGGUCAUACAAUGAGGAAUACAGAAGCGUGAUCUAAUUACAUCAAGUAAAGCCUAGAAAUACUAUCAAGUGAAGUAUGAUAGUUGUUGUUGAAGGUUUUAGUGGCUUCUGAACUGGAGUGGCAUUUGAUUUGUAGCUGUUUUUGAGUUGUAAAUAUCAUGCGAGAUUGGUUCGUACGCUUGUUUCUUCUUUGCAUGUGAAUUUUGUGAUGUUUCCAUUGUAUUCUUCUAGGGUUCCACCGAGUCUGAAGGAAGCCGCCAC